rnacentral:rRNA from 1 species
GAUAAACGCUGGCGGCGUGCCUAACACAUGCAAGUCGAACGCCCUGCGCAAGCAGGGAGUGGCGGACGGGUGAGUAACACGUGGGCAACCUGCCCUUCAGUGAGGAAUACCGGCGAGAAAUCGCCGACAAGACCGCAUACGCUCGGGCAACCGAGCAAAGCUCGCAAGGGCGCUGAAGGAGGGGCCUGCGGCUGAUUAGCUAGUUGGUGGGGUCAUAGCUCACCAAGGCGACGAUCAGUAGCUGGUCUGAGAGGACGAUCAGCCACACUGGGAUUGA